UACGUAGGGUGCGAGCGUUGUCCGGAAUUAUUGGGCGUAAAGGGCUCGUAGGCGGUUUGUCACGUCGGGAGUGAAAACUCGGGGCUUAACCCCGAGCCUGCUUCCGAUACGGGCAGACUAGAGGUAUGCAGGGGAGAACGGAAUUCCUGGUAUAGCGGUGAAAUGCGCAGAUAUCAGGAGGAACACCGGUGGCGAAGGCGGUUCUCUGGGCAUUACCUGACGCUGAGGAGCGAAAGUGUGGGGAGCGAACAGG
rnacentral:rRNA from 1 species